UGAAAGUACACGAGGAGCGGCAGCGUUUCAGCCGCCGCAACCGGCCGAUAUACCCGCGCGUUCAACUCGCGACCUUGCAGC
rnacentral:tRNA from 1 species